UACGUAGGGCGCAAGCGUUGUCCGGAAUUAUUGGGCGUAAAGAGCUCGUAGGCGGUCUGUCGCGUCGGGUGUGAAAGCCCACAGCUUAACUGUGGGUCUGCAUUCGAUACGGGCAGACUAGAGGCAGGUAGGGGAGCAUGGAAUUCCCGGUGUAGCGGUGAAAUGCGCAGAUAUCGGGAGGAACACCGGUGGCGAAGGCGGCAUCCUGGACCGACACUGACGCUGAGGAGCGAAAGCCAGGGGAGCAAACGGG
rnacentral:rRNA from 1 species